CCUCCCGGUCAUAGGAGAGGGGGAAACACCCGAACCCAUUCCGAACUCGGAAGUUAAGCCCCUCUCCGCUCAGCUUGUAGUGGGGUGCGAGAGCCCCCGCGAAGGCUGGGUGCUGGGAGGC
rnacentral:rRNA from 1 species